rnacentral:lncRNA from 1 species
CUCUAAUGUUAAUGUCAAGCUAUUUUAAAAAUGUUAACAUUUUUUUUCCCGUUUUCACUUCAGCCGGUCGUUUCAGCCUGAGAGCAAGAAAAGCAAAAGGUCCGGUUGAACUCACCCAGCAGCAUGGUUUAAGACUGGAUUGGCUGACCCCCUUUGACCAGCUGGCUUGGCCACAGUAAAUCCUAGAGACUGCUCAUGCUACAGGCCUUGGGUAAUUAAUAAAACCCCCAUUACAUGCCUUGUGCCCGUUGUUUGCUAUUUCAACACCCCAUUUGUGCCACGAUUACAGUCAUUAUCAGUCACCGCCAUUAAUUCUCCACCCGAAGCCAGAACUGCAUACUAAUAAAUUGGGCUCUAAAAUUUUUUUUACCUUUCAAGGAGUUGGUGUUGGAACCAGGCCAGGAAGUGCCACUCCAGAUUAGAAGUCAUCUGGUGCCUCGAACGGAGCUCUUUGAAAAGGAGGCUGCUGCAUCUUUGGAGAUAGUUCAAAUUUCCUCUUUGAUUAUUUUCCUUUCCCCUCCAAAAUGAAUCUUUAUUAAGCUUAAAUCCUGAAUAAAAUGAAAUUAGCAGACUGCAAAAUAUUGCUUUCUUUUCUGCCUCUAUUCCCCUGUGCACACAUGCAAAUUAUAAUGCUUAUUUAUGUAAAUGAGGUGUCGUCUUUAAUUAGUUUUGCUUGAGGGCAUUAAAAUACAUGUAUUCUUCCCCAAAAAAUGAUUUGUUUUGUUGCUCUGUUCAGUUUAAGUUCAAAAUGAAUGAUUAUGCCGACUAAAAAGGUUUAUUAAUUCUCUUUUUUUUUCCACCCUCUUUUGGAGAA